rnacentral:rRNA from 1 species
AUAUCACUCGGUACUGCUAGAAGUGUUGAUAAGAUACAGAACCAAUACACCUUUUUUAAAGGGUGUAGAAAAAGGUGAUUCAUAGUAACCGAACGGAUCGCAUUAUAAUCAUUUCGAUGAUUGGGGAUAGAUCAUUCAAGUUUCUGACCUAUCAGCUUUCGACGGUAGUGGAUUGGACUACCGUGGCAUUGACGGGUAACGGGGAAUUAGGUAUCAAUUUCGGAGUAGGAGGCGGGAAAAUAGGCAACAAAAUCUAAGGAAGCACCCCGGCGCCAAAAGGACGGAGUGUUGAUUCCGGGAAGAAGUGACACGAAAAAAUUUUUCUGGAAAUCCUCUUUUUUAUGCUAGGGUGGAGGGGAAUCCAAAGCCGUUUCAGAGGAACAAUUGUGAGGGCAAGUCUGAGUGUCAGCAGCGGCGGUAAUUCCAGCUCCACUAGCGUAUAUAAAAGUAGUUGCAGUUGAAGAGCUUGUAGUUGGAUAUCUGCCGGAGGCAAUCGGUCGGCCCUUUUAGUGAGGGUGUGUUCCUUAUAAAUUCUGGCAUGAUUAUCUCCCCACUAUCAACAUAAUAAUAUUAGGUUGACUUCCUAAUUUGGCAAUAAUUAUUUUGGGGAAGACACUUCUAUUGAGAGAAGAUGAGAGAAAUAGUAGAAGGAUUUUUCCCGCCUACACUACAGCAUG